UCCCCCGGCGGGGCCCGCGGCCUGCCCCUUCCUCCCCGCGCGGCCGGCGAGGGCUGCGGGGGGGCGCGGCCCCGGCUCGGGAGCGUGCACCGUGCACUGCGCACUGGCCCCGGGCGGGACUCUGCGCAAAGCCGCUCCCUGGGGACCGCCGGGUGGGGGGGCGAGCCUGGACGCGCUGAGGUUCCACGAGGCAGGAUGUACCGUGGUUCCCGAAGUGCGGGUUUCCUUAUCUGUCCUCUUGACGGACCUCUGGGCUGUUCCAGUCUCUUGCGACAGAGCGUCCGGAAACACUCCUGCCGCGGCCUCGCGGGCAGCCCAAUCGAGGCAUGUUGGUCCAGCUCUCCCAGCGCACCGGCAGCGUUAGAUGCUGUCAGUCUUUUCAGUGUUGGCCAUCCAGUGCGCAUGCACUAGCUGUCACCGGAGUUUUCUCUGCGUGUGUCUGAUGCUUCACGAAGGUGCACUCCAGCCCAGCCUGGGGCUUGAACUCAGGAUCCUGAGAUCAAGGGUGGCAGGCCCUACCAACAGAGCCAGCCGGGUGCCCCUGUAUUUAGGAUGGAAAUCCUGUAUCAGACACAUGUAAAACAUAUACUUUUUCACUGAAUGGGGCAUAUGUGUUUCAAAUAACGGUGCUUCUGGGGCGCCGGAGUUGCUGAGUGGCUUAAGCAUCUGCUUGGGCUCAGGUCAUGAUCCUGGGAUCCUGGGACUGAAUUCUACAUUGGGCUGUUCCUCUGCGGGGAGCCUGCUUCUUUCCUCUCCCUCUGCUCCUCCUGCUUUCUCUCUGUCAAAUAAAUAAAGUCUUUAAAAAUGAUAAUAAUAAAAAAUAAAAAGUAAAAUA